AGCUUUGCGCAAUGGCGAUAUCGUAACCAAUGAGGUUUUACCUAGGUGUGCGAUUAUUGCUAGUUGAAAAAAAAACCAUUUAAUAGUGUAUUAUGUUUUAUAUAAGAAAUUAAGAACUGUUUUUUUUCCUUAUAAUGG